AAGCAGUUUUGAACCUUUAAAAAAGUAAACACAUUUGAGGUCAAGCUGGCACAGGGACACUUGAGGAUGUCAGCGUGAAGCAGAAGAACAAGCGCUUGGACGGGAUUAUCCGAACCGUCCUCUUCGCCUGCUGUUGUUCAGGCAGUGAUCUCCAUGCGUCCAAACAUCUCUAUCUCCUUGACUCUGGCUGUACUGUGGACAUCAGUCCGCCCAAGAUGUCCUCAGCUUGACACGUUUGCUCCAGAAUCCUCUGCUCUGGAGUCUUUGGAGUGCCGUAAUGACUACCGCUCUCAUAUCCGCUGCAGCUGGAGAGAAGAUCCUCACGUUCAUCUCUCUCUGCUCCACAUGGAUCCAGAUGACCAC